AUUGAACGCUGGCGGCAGGCUUAACACAUGCAAGUCGAGCGGUAGCACAAGAGAGCUUGCUCUCUGGGUGACGAGCGGCGGACGGGUUAGUAAUGUCUGGGAAACUGCCUGAUGGAGGGGGAUAACUACUGGAAACGGUAGCUAAUACCGCAUAACGUCGCAAGACCAAAGAGGGGGACCUUCGGGCCUCUUGCCAUCAGAUGUGCCCAGAUGGGAUUAGCUAGUAGGUGGGGUAAUGGCUCACCUAGGCGACGAUCCCUAGCUGGUCUGAGAGGAUGACCAGCCACACUGGAACUGAGACACGGUCCAGACUCCUACGGGAGGCAGCAGUGGGGAAUAUUGCACAAUGGGCGCAAGCCUGAUGCAGCCAUGCCGCGUGUGUGAAGAAGGCCUUCGGGUUGUAAAGCACUUUCAGCGAGGAGGAGGGUGGUGAACUUAAUACGUUCAUCAAUUGACGUUACUCGCAGAAGAAGCACCGGCUAACUCCGUG
rnacentral:rRNA from 1 species